UACGGGGGGGGCAAGCGUUGUUCGGAAUUACUGGGCGUAAAGGGCUCGUAGGCGGCCAACUAAGUCAUACGUGAAAUCCCUCGGCUUAACCGGGGAACUGCUUCUGAUACUGGAUGGCUUGAGUUCGGGAGAGGGAUGCGGAAUUCCAGGUGUAGCGGUGAAAUGCGUAGAUAUCUGGAGGAACACCGGUGGCGAAGGCGGCAUCCUGGACCGAUACUGACGCUGAGGAGCGAAAGCCAGGGGAGCAAACGGG
rnacentral:rRNA from 1 species